rnacentral:lncRNA from 1 species
UAGUGGCUACCGUAUUACAGAGCACAGCUUCAAUCCAGACUAGAUUCAUUGACUGGAAACUCUUUUGCUUGCUGGGUCUGUGGCUUCCAGGCCUGGUGGGACCAGGAUUCAGGAGACGGGGGAAGGGAGUGUAUAUUUUCAGCAGUCAGCACCUAGGUUACUUUGUGUAAUCUACAAAUACCCAGUGAGGGGAGUAUUUGUUUACCCUGGCUGCUGAGGGCUGGAGAUGAGGGUCAGGGUCAGGAUCAGUGUGCCUGCUGCCUUGGGAUCUUGGUCCUCAGUCAGAGGAACUUCCUCUCUCUAACCACCCCCUACCCCAAGCCAGACAAUCUGUUCACGGGUAGUUGGUACCCAGUGGCCCGGUCAGAGUCUGGGGUUUCUCAGCCCUUCUCAGGAUUUACCCAUGACCAUUUUCAGGCUCCUUUUAGGGUGGAGUCUGCAUAGCUGAUCCUACACAGGCCUCACAGGCUCUACACCGACUCAAGAAAUGUUUGCUGCAAUGAAUAAACAAGCAGCAAGCCAAAGCAAGGAGAGAUUUCUGGCAACAGAGAGCCCGAAGCGGGAGGGCCUUCAUUCAGUUCCUCAAUGACACCAUUUAGGCAGCCGUCCUCAAACCUGACAGUGCCUAAGAAUCACAAGGGGCAGUUUGUUUAAAAGGACAUGCCCCAGGCCUCACUCCUAGGUGUUCUUAUUUAAUAAAUCUGGGUUAGGGUUCAAAAAUCAUCAUGUUUACCAAAGCCCUCCCACCCAGCACACACACCAGAUCUGAUGCUAGGCUCAGAACUAAGCUUUUGAGAAAUACUGAUUUAGGGUGAGGCUAGGCACGUGUGUGGGUAAUGGGGGCAGGAAGAGGUGCCCUAGAAGGAAAUUCAGAAGCUGAGAUAGCUCUUUGAGAUACUUAAAGGUAUACAUACUUCUUUUGUGUAUUUUCUUGCAUUGCAGUAGGAAGAGGGAACUUGAGUCACCCAAGUCCAGCCUUCCAGCACCAGAGUGUUGGAACCGGCAGAAGCCUAAGUCCCAGCUAGUCCAGGCCCUUAGACAACGAGUACACCUGAGAAGUCCUGGCAGCUCCAGGGUGUGUGGGCGGCAGCUGAUCCCGAGGAAAACAAACCUCUGGGCUCUAAGAGCCCCGCAGGCUGUACCUGCGGAUUUCCCCUCUCAGCCAACUCCAGCCUCUGCUCCCCCUCUGCUCCUCACUUCUCUAAAGCGAAACAUCUCACAGUCAUUUGCUCCAUGCUUCCUGUACGAUUUCUUUAUUUUUACUCUCCAGUUUGUGGGCUGAGUCUGUGUGGGUGUGGGAGAGGGGCUGGGUAUUUCUACUUCUCUGCAUUUUCCUUCUGAGCUGGGAGGACUUUCACUUCCUCCCCAGUCUCUCAGUUCUGCCUUUCAUGGGCUGUUCAGGCCAUGAGACCACCUCUCCUAAUCCUUCCUGAGCACCAGGGAAAUGGAAAACUGACUGUAACUGGCUGCCCUGGAAGGGCCUAGCAUCCACUCAGGAGCAACAGGUGGUGGCAACUACAGCAGUAACAGUAACCUCCCUGGGGCAGGAGCCUUGGGCUGGCGUGACAGCAGCAGAGGCAGCCAAGGGAGCCCUGCUUGCUCCUGAGGCCAUCCGAGCCCUGGAACCUGUCUUGCAUCCCUCUAACACCACCAUGGGCAAGCCUGGGCCUCCACUUCCCUCCCUCAGCCUUUUCUGUCCCAGCACUCAGCCAGACAAGAGUGACUCUCAGCUUGCCCCAAUGCCCCCAGCUCUGCCUGCUGAUCUAGUUCUAUAUUUGAGAGUCUUAGACAUCUACCACACUGGAGCACAGAGCCACGGGAGGGGUUGGCCUCCAUCACCGGGGCCUGACAACCUGCCAUCCCGCCAUCCCAACCUCCCUGAACCUCAGUCUCCUCUUUCAAACAAAGUUAUAUGUAGAUACAGUGGAGGAUUAGAAAACAUUGAAUGGGUGCCCCAAUCAACAGUGUCUGUUACUGGCAGGAGUUAUAAAUGUGUAUUGAAAAUGGAAUCCCUUCUUUUUUUCUUCCAAUCAUAAGGACCACAACCAUCCAAAAAGCAAAGAGAGCCUCAGACACUCCAGCUCAGCCUCUAGUUGCAGAAAGUCACCUCCUCAAAGGGAGAGAUCAGUGUUCACCUAGGACUGGAAUUCAGUGUGAUCUAGUGGUUGAAAGUCUUAGCCUUCAGCCUCCCCAGCCUGUCAGCUGUUCCAGAAGCCUGUCAGCUGCCCCUUAGUUUUCUGCUGUGUCCUCAAAGAAGCACUGGGACCCUAAAAUAAACCUCUGGAGAGCCAGUUGCCCAACUCUUCCAGAAGAGAGACUAGACACGCAGCUGGGCAUGCGGCCAGAGCCCAAGAAAAGCCUGGUUUGCCAGGGGCAGAUUACAGUCAACGGGAGCAGCCAAUCCUAACCCAGAUCAAAGAUCCUGGGACAGCUGGAACAGGCAUGGCCUAAUGGAACUCCCAAGUGGACAGGGCCAGGCAUGGACGGACAGAGCUUCUGAAACAGUCCUCAGACCCCGUGCAUCUGGAUCUUUCUGUAGGAACCACCCAUCAGCAGUGCCAGACAGAACCAAGCACAUGCACUGAUCCACCGCACGAUGGGAGCUGGUGUGGGUGAGCUUGUUUGCUUUAGCCAUGCCCACAGACAGGAACAGAAGAGCACAGUGGAGGCCACCAGCCCUCUCGCCUGCUAUUUCAAAAGGGGUUGCAGCAGGGCUGGAAAGCGGUUCCCACUGUGGUUGCCCCCUUCCUCUCUGUGGCACACACAGACCUGAAAAUAACCAGAGAGGGACUGUGAGCUGCCAGCCUAAAACAGGAAGGCUGCAGAAAGUCCUAGGCUCAGAUAGGAGAGUUUAAAAGAAUGUUGAAACCAAGAACGGGCAUCACAGAUCCCACCUGUCUCUGCACCAAAGCAGACCUCCCCCUCUCUAAUCUACUGGUGGGGAGCCUGUGUGCUCUGUAGUCAUGCAGAUCCCAGCUUUACCACUUGCUGGCUGUGUGACUUAAGCAAGCUAUUUAACUUCUCUGAACCCCUAUUUCCUGAUUUGUAAGAUAAGCGCAGCAAUAUACAAAGUUUUAGUGUUGUGGUUCACAUGAAAAAAUUUAAUCCUGGCCAGGCCGGACGUGGUGCCUCACACCUGUAAUUCCAGCACUUUGGGAGGCCAAGGUGGGCAGAUCAUGAGGUCAGGAGUUCGAGACCAGCCUGACCAACAUGGUAAAACCACAUCUCUACUAAAAAUACAAAAAUUAGCCGGGCAUGGUGGUGCGUACCGGUAGUCCCAGCUACUCAGGAGGCUGAGGCAGGAGAAUCACUUGAACCCAGGAGGCGGAGGUUGCAGUGAACCGAGAUGGCACCACUGCACUCCAGCCUGGGCAAGAAGAACGAAACUCCCUCUCAAAAAAAAGAAAAGAAAAAGAAAAAAGAAAGAGAAGAAAGCAUACCUGCACAAUUCAGCCUGACCUGCCCUCACCCAGACAACAGAAGGAACAAUGAAGACUUUAGUUGUCUGAGCCAGAACACUUCUCAGAUAACUGUGCUGCUUACAAAUUGCUUUACAUACACAAUCUCCUCUGAAAUUCUCAACCCUGAAUGCUGGGAGACAUUGCCCCCAAUUUUCAGAUGAGUAGACUGAGGCUAACAGAGGUAAAGUGGCUUGUUCAAAACUGCACUACUAGUAACUGGCAGCUCCAGGGUGAGGUCUGGCUCCUGGCCCAGGACUCUCACUGAGCAAGGGCUCGGUCGGCCCACCCAGGACCAAAGACACUGCAGACCAUGGCAGCAGGCACUUGGUGUUCUGUAGUCUGUGAGGGGAGAGCAGAGAGCAGAACCUGGUGUGUGGGACACCCUCUCCUUCACCGGUGUUCCUGCAGGGACCCUCCGUCUCCUGUAAAGGGGGAAGCCCUAGGCUGACUCCCAGCAAGCAAGUCCUCUCUCACCUUUCACCUGAAGCGAUGAAGCAUCUUAAAGUUUGCCUAAAGCAGAAGUCUACAGGAGACCCACAGAAUAAAUAUGUAAGGUUAUUUUGAAACCAAAA